GAUCCUGGCUUAGGACGAACGCUGGCGGCGUGCUUAACACAUGCAAGUCGAACGGGGAUAUGAGCGGAAGGCUUCGGCCGGAAGGUUGGUAAUUCGAGUGGCGGACGGGUGAGUAACGCGUGAGCAACCUGUCCCAGACAGGGGGAUAACACUUGGAAACAGGUGCUAAUACCGCAUAAGACCACGGGGUCACAUGGCCCAGGGGUAAAAGGAGCAAUCCGGUUUGGGGUGGGCUCGCGUCCGAUUAGCCAGUUGGUGAGGUAACGGCCCACCAAAGCGACGAUCGGUAGCCGGCCUGAGAGGGCGGACGGCCACAUUGGGACUGAGACACGGCCCAGACUCCUACGGGAGGCAGCAGCGGGGGAUAUUGCACAAUGGAGGAAACUCUGAUGCAGCGACGCCGCGUGGGUGAAGAAGUAUUUCGGUAUGUAAAGCCCUAUCAGCAGGGACGAUAAUGACGGUACCUGACUAAGAAGCCCCGGCUAACUACGUGCCAGCCGCCGC
rnacentral:rRNA from 1 species